CUGCUGCUCCUGGCACUGGCUCUCAUUCUGAUUGGCAAUUCUCCUUUGCUGCCGAACGUGACCCAUGAUAUGCUGUAUAAGCAAGAUGUUGUAGCCGUUGUGGUGAUUGGCCUCGCCUCUGCCAUGUCCAUUGUGCCCACCUUUGCCUCCAUUCUUUACGUCCUCGGCGAGGAUGGCACAGUGGACGUCACAACAUUCUCACUGGUGGGCGGCAUGUGGUCUGC